AGCAGCCGCGGUAAUUCCAGCUCCAAUAGCGUAUAUUAAAGUUGUUGCAGUUAAAGAGCUCGUAGUUGAAUUUCGGGACCAAUAUGUCUGUCGUGCCUUCGGUACGUACGGGUAUAAUUGGUUUCUACCUUCUGAUGAACCUUGAUGCCAUUAAUUUGGUGUCUUGGGGACUCAGGACUGUUACCUUGAAAAAAUUAGAGUGUUUAAAGCAGGCAUACGCUUGAAUACAUUAGCAUGGAAUAAUGAAAUAGGACGUUCAAUUCUAUUUUGUUGGUUUCUAGGAUCGACGUAAUGAUUAAUAGGGAUAGUUGGGGGCAUUAGUAUUCAAUUGUCAGAGGUGAAAUUCUUGGAUUUAUUGAAGACUAACUACUGCGAAAGCAUUUGCCAAGGAUGUUUUCAUUAAUCAAGAACGAAAGUUAGGGGAUCGAAGACGAUCAGAUACCGUCGUAGUCUUAACCAUAAACUAUGCCGACUAGGGAUCGGAUGAUGUUAAUUUUUUAAUGACUCAUUCGGCGCCUUACG
rnacentral:rRNA from 1 species